UCCCACCAUGCAGUGUGCAACGAGAUUGACCAAUGGCAAUCUCCGGUGCCAGGGCUGACACUCAACCUACCUGUGAUGGGCGUGGUCAUGCAGGUCAGGAUCCCAUCCAAAAACGACAAACCAGGGGGUAGCCCGGUGAAAUGAGCACAAAAGGAGGUGUUUCCAGUCCUUCCUGAUCCACCUGCAGAUCCUCUGGGAGCUCAUGCUGAUCGGGGAGCCCGUGGUCAUCAUGGCACCCUCUCCUACUGUCUCCUCGUAAACUGUGCUGGCCCUAGCGAGUUCGAUUGCUCCACUGCAGUAUUGCUGUGAUUACAGGCCCUACUUCACCAUACACGACACUGAGUUUAAGGAGUAUACCACUACGACACAGGCACCUCCCUAUGUUAUUCUGGGGUCACUAAUCCCUUCUUCAUAAAGACCUUCCAGUCCUGGCCCCAUAUUAUACGCCUUGGAGAACUCAAGAUGUCAGGUGACCUGCCUGUGAAGGUGAAGAAACUAGCCAAGCUGAAAACACUGGACACUAAGUCAGGUAUCUACACGGCACAUAAAACAUUCCUUCAAAAAGACAAGUCUCAUCAAAAGACUCCUUAAAGGGAUCCAGAGGAAGAGGUGCAGAGUGCCAUCUUGAGGAGACAUCUGUUAGAACUCACCCAGAGCUUCAUCAUCCCACUGUUGAGGGGACUGCCUUCCCUACCACACAUCCAUCCCACCCCUGUAUAGACUGUCUGUCCUGCUGCAUGCUGUGUGUCUCACCUGUCUCCCC